rnacentral:misc_RNA from 1 species
AAGUCGUAACAAGGUCUCCGUUGGUGAACCAGCGGAGGGAUCAUUACAGUAUUCUUUUGCCAGCGCUUAAUUGCGCGGCGAAAAACCUUACACACUAUGUUUUUUUAAUUUGAAACUAUUGCUUUGGUCUGGCUUAGAAAUAGGUUGGGCCAAAGGUUUUAUCAAAACUUCAAUAUUUAUUAUUGAAUUGUUAUUUUAAUUUUAUUGUCAAUUUGUUGAUUAAUAUCAAAAAUCUUCAAAACUUUCAACAACGGAUCUCUUGGUUCUC